rnacentral:misc_RNA from 1 species
ACACUAAGGGCGAAAGGGGCGAAAAUAAAAUGGGGGGCGAAUAUUUCCCUGUAUGCAGUAUUUGGGCAUAUGUUUACCCCCUUUUGUAAAUUUUAUAGAUUUCUGAAACAUAGUCCCCAGUACUGAAUUCUCCUUGUUUAUUUAGGUUUACAAUGAUAGAGUGAAAUAUAUUCCAACAACUUAAAAAAGUAUUUUUUUUUAAAUUUUAUGUGUACCUUAAUCAAUUUUACUUUACAUCUGACAUAAAAGAUCUUGUUUGUAUAUUUGGUAUUGUGACCUGCCACCUGUUGAAUACAUUGCUGACUCAUGUGUGGUCAAUUAUUUAUAUAUUCGAUUUCCAGUAACAUGAGUAAAGCAUGCACAUGUUUCAUGUAAAAAAAAUCACAAUUUAAUAACAUAGAUAAGGUAAUGAGGUUAUGAAGAGGAAAAUUUUAUUACAUGUAGUUGUCCAAAUGAUGAAUUGGAAAAGUAGGGUUAUGGCAAUUUUAUGAUUUUAAGAAUAAAGUAGGUAAGUUUUAAGAUGACUGAAUGAACUCAUUACAGUUAUAGUAAUGACAACAGCCAAUUAAAAUGUCUACUAUUCAGCUGAAAAUCAAAGAUAACCUAAAGUUCUUAAAGACUGAUUAUAUUUAUUUUUUACAUUAAUUAAUGUACAGUAUAGUGUUCACACAUUAUGAAUAUGAAAUUAUUUCUAUUUUUCUUGUUUAUUUUUAGAUUAUGGAUGAUCUAUCAUCAGAUUGUCAGCAUGUAAGUUAAAAAAAAAAACCACCAAAAUACACAGAUGUUAUUAAAAUGAAUAUUUUUAUCCUUUUAAAAUUACACAUUAAUCUAACCUUUCAUUUUCAGUAUAUUUGGGUAUACAAACGCAAUUUGACAAAGGAUGACAGAUUUGAUUACGCAGCUCAAGAAGUUUGUAAAAGCGAGUUAAGUCAGGUGAGGUUUCAUUUUGUUCCUUAGAUAGGUAUGUAUUUGCUAUGUUAUUUUAAAGUAUUGAUCAUGGUAUCUAGCUAUGUUGUAAAAGUUUCAAGUAACUCUUUCAUGCCUGUACUAUAUAUAAUUGCAAUGCUUCAGAAACCUGAUCAGAAUAUUCACACGAAUUAUGUAACGUCAGUCAACUUUAUUAUACCGAUAUGAUCCUUAAUAUGGAUACAAAGUUUAUGAAUGUUAAUUAUGUUUAUUCUACAUUUGUCAUUCAAUU